rnacentral:tRNA from 1 species
GGAGAUUUAGCUCAGUGGCAUAAGUGCCUGCCUUGUAAGCAGGCAAUUGUGAGUUCAAUCUCCA